AGAUAUGUUUGAUAUUCUUGGUUGUGGCUUAUAUCCAACCAAGAAUCAGACAUAUGCUG
rnacentral:pre_miRNA from 1 species